rnacentral:rRNA from 1 species
GGCGGCGUGCCUAACACAUGCAAGUCGUACGAGAAAAUUGGCUUCGGCCGAUGAGUAAAGUGGCGCACGGGUGAGUAACGCGUGGAUAAUCUACCCUUUAGUCUGGAAUAACUUGCCGAAAGGUGAACUAAUACCGGAUGAUAUCCUGGUUUCCCCGGAGAUCGGGAUCAAAGAAGGCUUCUGUUUACAUGCUUUUGCUUAAGGAUGAGUCCGCGUACCAUUAGCUAGUUGGUAGGGUAAUGGCCUACCAAGGUUAUGAUGGUUAGCUGGUCUGAGAGGAUGAUCAGCCACACUGGAACUGAGACACGGUCCAGACUCCUACGGGAGGCAGCAGUGAGGAAUAUUGCGCAAUGGGGGCAACCCUGACGCAGCAACGCCGCGUGAGUGAGGAAGGUUUUCGGACCGUAAAGCUCUGUCGAGCGGGAAGAAAUGCAUGGUGGCUAAUAUCCAUCAUGCUUGACGGUACCGCUAAAGGAAGCACCGGCUAACUCCGUG